rnacentral:rRNA from 1 species
AUGGCUCGUGGCGACCAUCAAGAUGAUGAUGAUGACUUCAUGGAUGCACCACAACAGAAUCGCGCGACUGGUCGGGCAAAAGAUGGCGAAGAGAAGAAGAAACGUCAUUGCAAUAGGGCUUCGCAAGAACGCCUAACCAUUUUGAACGAUGGAUUUACUGAUGAGCAGAAGGGAGCUGCCGGUGAGGUGGGGAUGCAGGCUCUGAUGGAUGUUCGCUGCAAGAACCUAGUGAACCCUGUAUGCGACUGGCUCGGUGAGAUUUAUGAUCCUGCAUCCAGAGAAUUUGUGAUUCCGAGACGGGGAAGACUGCCUUUGGAUGAGGACUCGGUGUUCUGCACUUUGGGUGUGCCCCGCAGAGAAAUCAAAGUCCCGUAUGAGGUGAACAAUAAGAUUGAGGAAGCCUUGUCCCCCCGUUUGUUUCCUGGGGUGUCAACCAUGCCGAAUACGACUGUGCUGGAAACUUCGUUGGAGGGCAUGAAAACCCAUGGCGAGCUCAUGUACAUCGAUGCUCUUGAUCUGUCCACCGUUGACCUUACCGGGAUAGGAGGCCCGCCGCUUGCACAUUAG